AGAGUUUGAUCAUGGCUCAGGACGAACGCUGGCGGCGUGCUUAACACAUGCAAGUCACGGGGGCCCGAGGCGCAAGCCAAGGGCAACCGGCGAACGGGUGCGUAACACGUGAGUGACCUGCCGAUUUGUGGGGGAUAGCCGGGCCAACGCCCGGGUAAUACCGCAUACGCUCUUCUUGGGGCAUCUCUAGAAGAGGAAACCUCCGGGGCAAAUCGAGGGACUCGCGGCCUAUCAGCUAGUUGGCGAGGUAACGGCUCACCAAGGCUACGACGGGUAGCUGGUCUGAGAGGAUGGCCAGCCACAUUGGGACUGAGAUACGGCCCAGACUCCUACGGGAGGCAGCAGUGGGGAAUAUUGCGCAAUGGCCUAACGGCUGACGCAGCGACGCCGCGUGUGGGAUGACGCCCUUCGGGGUGUAAACCACUGUUGCUCGAGACGAACAGCGAGCUUUAGCUCGCCUGACGGUAUCGAGUGAGGAAGCACCGGCUAACUCCGUGCCAGCAGCCGCGGUAAUACGGAGGGUGCGAGCGUUGUCCGGAAUCACUGGGCGUAAAGGGCGCGUAGGUGGUCAGGUAAGGGUGUGGUGAAAGUCCGGGGCUCAACCCCGGAUCUGCCGUGCCGACUGCUUGACUGGAGCAUUGCAGAGGCAGAUGGAAUUCCGGGUGUAGCGGUGGAAUGCGUAGAGAUCCGGAAGAAGACCGGUGGCGAAGGCGAUCUGCUGGGCAAUGGCUGACACUGAGGCGCGACAGCGUGGGGAGCAAACAGGAUUAGAUACCCUGGUAGUCCACGCCGUAAACGAUGGGCACUAGGUCUCUGGUGGAGCGACCCCUUGGGGGGCCGGCGCAAACGCAUGAAGUGCCCCGCCUGGGGAGUACGGCCGCAAGGCUGAAACUCAAAGGAAUUGACG
rnacentral:rRNA from 1 species